UACAGAGGUGGCAAGCGUUGUUCGGAAUUACUGGGCGUAAAGGGCGCGUAGGCGGCCGUUCGCGUCGGAUGUGAAAGCUCAGGCUCAACUCUGAGACGCCAUUCGAUACGGGACGGCUAGAGGUAGGUAGGGGAAAGUGGAAUUCCUGGUGUAGCGGUGAAAUGCGCAGAUAUCAGGAGGAACACCGGUGGCGAAGGCGGCAUCCUGGACCAACACUGACGCUGAGUGAGCGAAAGCCAGGGGAGCAAACGGG
rnacentral:rRNA from 1 species